rnacentral:rRNA from 1 species
CACGAAGUUAGCCGGGGCUUCUUCUUCAGGUACCGUCAUUAUCGUCCCUGACGAAAGAGCUUUACAACCCUAAGGCCUUCAUCACUCACGCGGCAUGGCUGGAUCAGGCUUGCGCCCAUUGUCCAAUAUUCCCCACUGCUGCCUCCCGUAGGAGUUUGGGCCGUGUCUCAGUCCCAAUGUGGCUGGCCAUCCUCUCAGACCAGCUACCGAUCGUCGCCUUGGUGAGCCAUUACCUCACCAACUAGCUAAUCGGACGCGGGCCAAUCCUUCGGCGAUCAAUCUUUCGCCUCUCGGCCGUAUACGGUAUUAGCUCGAGUUUCCCCGAGUUGUUCCGUACCAAAGGGUAUGUUCCCACGUGUUACUCACCCGUCUGCCACUCCUGGAUUGCUCCAAGCGUUCGACUUGCAUGUGUUAAGCCUGCCGCCAGCGUUCGUUCUGAGCCAGGAUCAAACUCU